rnacentral:rRNA from 1 species
GGGGAGGUAGUGACGAAAAAUAACGAUACGGGACUCAUCCGAGGCCCCGUAAUCGGAAUGAGUACACUUUAAAUCCUUUAACGAGGAUCAAUUGGAGGGCAAGUCUGGUGCCAGCAGCCGCGGUAAUUCCAGCUCCAAUAGCGUAUAUUAAAGUUGUUGCGGUUAAAAAGCUCGUAGUUGAAUCUGUGUGCCACAAUGUCGGUCCGCCGCUCGCGGUGGUUACUUGCAUACCGUGGGACGUCCUACCGGUGGACUUAGCCCUUCGGGGCGGUCCAACUAAUAUCCCAUCGCGGUGCUCUUUAUUGAGUGUCGAGAUGGGCCGGUACGUUUACUUUGAACAAAUUAGAGUGCUUAAAGCAGGCUACUUUCGCCUGAAUACUGUGUGCAUGGAAUAAUGGAAUAGGACCUCGGUUCUAUUUUGUUGGUUUUCGGAACCCCGAGGUAAUGAUUAAUAGGGACAGAUGGGGGCAUUCGUAUUGCGACGUUAGAGGUGAAAUUCUUGGAUCGUCGCAAGACGGACAGAAGCGAAAGCAUUUGCCAAAAAUGUUUUCAUUAAUCAAGAACGAAAGUUAGAGGUUCGAAGGCGAUCAGAUACCGCCCUAGUUCUAACCAUAAACGAUGCCAGCUAGCGAUCCGCCGAAGUUCCUCCGAUGACUCGGCGGGCAGCUUCCGGGAAACCAAAGCUUUUGGGUUCCGGGGGAAGUAUGGUUGCAAAGCUGAAACUUAAAGGAAUUGACGGAAGGGCACCACCAGGAGUGGAGCCUGCGGCUUAAUUUGACUCAACACGGGAAACCUCACCAGGCCCGGACACCGGAAGGAUUGACAGAUUGAUAGCUCUUUCUUGAUUCGGUGGGUGGUGGUGCAUGGCCC